CCACUGUCGACAACUGGAAAAUAAACACAAAAAAACAACAACAAUUUUCGCUCCUCCAAAAUCGCGGGAUUCUAAACUGGCUGGCUCGUUCUGCCGAAGCUACCGGAAAUAAUUACACUUCCUCGUCCAUUCAUCACCCGGGUGACGAUGGCUUCCCAGCAUUCCGUAGCGCUGGAGCUACGAGAAUCCAUAUGCUAUGUCCAUAGCCGGGUAGGAUCUUUCUGCAAGAAUCAUCAAACUAUGCGGUAUCAACAGGUUUUGAAUUUUCACCAUUUGUAAGUAAACCAAGUGUAAUAAAGAUAAAGAUUAUGUGAAAAAA